UACAGAGGAGCCAAGCGUUGUCCGGAUUGACUGGGCGUAAAGCGCACGCAGGCGGACGCGCGCGUGGGGUGUGAAAUCUGGCCGCUUAACGGCCAGGCGCCAUCCCAUACGGCGCGACUGGAGUGAUGCAGAGGUCGAUGGAAUUGCCGGUGUAGUGGUGAAAUGCGUAGAUAUCGUAAGGAAGACCAGUGGCGAAGGCGGGUCUCUGGACAGUUCCUGACGCUGAGGCACGAAGGCCAGGGGAGCAAACGGG
rnacentral:rRNA from 1 species